UGGAGCCGUCCUCCAGAGGUGCAGCAGCACUCCGCCACCACCACAGCUCUGCUCUAUGUAGCGCCGUCACAGUGCAGACAGAGGUUGUAAACAUGGCGGCGGACGGGAUGGUGCUCACCAACCACGACCAUCAGACCCGAGUGGGGAUUCUGACAGUCAGUGACAGCUGCUACAAGAACCUGGCUGAGGACAGGAGUGGAGUCAACCUGAAGGACCUGGUCCAUGAUCCCUCCCUACUAGGAGGAGUCAUUUCUGCCUACAAAAUUGUUCCAGAUGAGAUCGAUGAAAUCAAGGAAACUCUUCUGGAGUGGUGUGAUGAACAAGAGCUGAAUCUUAUUCUCACUACUGGAGGAACUGGCUUUGCACCCCGAGAUGUUACACCUGAGGCCACCAGAGAGGUGAUAGAGCGAGAGGCUCCGGGUAUGGCUCUAGCUAUGCUGAUGGGAUCCCUCAACGUUACACCGCUAGGCAUGCUGUCCAGGCCCGUUUGUGGGAUUCGUGGUAAAACCUUGAUCAUCAACCUUCCAGGGAGCAAGAAGGGCUCCCAGGAGUGUUUCCAGUUCAUCUUGCCAGCGCUGCCCCACGCCAUCGACCUGCUGCGCGAGGCCACGGUCCGGGUUAAAUCCACGCACGCCGCCCUGGAACAGCUGCCGUCGCCUUCCCCUCUGCUGGCCAACACGCACACCAACACACACUCCAACACACACACCAUGGAGCGCGGCACCCAGUGCGAGGAAGAGGAGGACGAGGAGGAGGACAGGAGGAGAGGUCGACACGUGCACAACCACCACCAUCACGGCUCCUCCCACAUCACCGCAGCCGCUAUCGCUGCCAAGACGAGCCAUGCAGUGGUCAUGGCUAAGGGGGGUCCCUACCUGCCUGGCAACACACCCGCCCCUCCCUCUCAUUUCACCUGCUCCUGUACUCAUGACCAGCAGAUCCCGGACUCGAUCAUUUCUCGAGGCGUUCAGGUGCUUCCUCGAGAUUCGGCCUCUUUAAGCUCCACCCCCUCCGAGUCACCGCGGGCAACACAGGCAACCUCCCGCCUUUCCACCGCCUCAUGCCCGACACCCAAGGUUCAGUCACGAUGUGGCAGUAAUGAGAACAUUCUGAGAGCCAGCCACAGUGCGGUGGACAUCAGUAAAGUGGCACGCCGUCACCGCAUGUCCCCGUUUCCACUGACAUCAAUGGACAAAGCCUUUAUCACUGUUCUAGAGAUGACACCUAUCCUGGGAAUCGAAGUCAUCAACUACAGAGAUGGUUUGGGGCGAGUGCUUGCUCAGGACAUCUAUGCCAAAGAUAACCUUCCUCCGUUCCCCGCCUCCGUUAAAGAUGGCUACGCUGUACGAGCUGCUGACGGCCCUGGAGAUCGCUUCAUCAUGGGGGAGUCCCAGGCUGGACAACAGCCCACCCAUACAGUGAUGCCAGGUCAGGUGAUGAGGGUCACCACCGGAGCUCCGAUUCCCUGUGGAGCUGACGCUGUGGUCCAAGUAGAAGAUACAGAGCUGCUGAGGGAGUCUGAAGAUGGCACAGAGGAGCUGGAGGUGAGGAUCAUGGUCCAGGCCCGGCCCGGACAGGACAUCAGGCCAAUCGGUCACGACAUCAGGCGAGGGGAGUGUGUGUUGGCUAAAGGGACACAUAUGGGCCCGUCAGAGAUCGGCCUGCUGGCUACUGUCGGAGUGACUGAGGUCAGCGUGCACAAGUUCCCUGUGGUGGCCGUCAUGUCCACUGGAAAUGAGCUGUUGAAUCCAGAGGAUGAUCUCCACCCAGGGAAGAUCAGAGACUCUAAUCGCUCCACUCUUCUGGCCACCAUCCAGGAACAUGGAUACCCCACCAUCAAUCUGGGCAUUGUUGGAGACAACCCUGAUGACCUGCUGUCAGCUCUCCAUGAGGGAAUCAGUCGUGCUGACGUCAUCAUCACCUCAGGGGGAGUAUCCAUGGGAGAGAAGGACUACCUGAAACAGGUGCUGGAUAUUGACCUUCAUGCUCAGAUCCACUUUGGACGAGUCUUUAUGAAGCCAGGUCUUCCUACUACCUUUGCCACUGUUGACAUUGAUGGAACUCGGAAGCUCAUCUUUGCUCUGCCAGGUAACCCGGUGUCUGCAGUGGUGACCUGUAACCUGUUUGUGAUUCCUGCUCUGAGGAAGAUGCAAGGCAUUCUGGACCCUAGACCUACAAUUAUUAAAGCUAGGCUUUCCUGUGACGUGAAGCUGGAUCCCAGACCAGAGUACCACCGCUGUAUUUUAACCUGGCAUCAUCAGGAGCCCCUGCCCUGGGCACAAAGUACAGGUAACCAGGUGUCCAGCAGGCUGAUGUCUAUGCGUAGCGCCAACGGCCUGCUGAUGUUACCUCCUAAAACAGAGCAGUACGUGGAGCUGCAUAAGGGAGAGGUUGUGGACGUCAUGGUCAUUGGACGGCUAUGAUGCAGACUGAAAUGUCACUCGCUACCGAUUACCAUGGCAGAGCCAGGACUUCUUGUCUGGACAGGAAACGGGCGGGGGCAGGAAGUGAUGCAUGUCUACCUGGUCGCCAUUAGCUGUGAUGUCAUAUGCAACAGCCAAUCGGAGCCAGCGCAGGCUGAAUCCUCUUUGAAAGCCCCUGAUACCGUUCCCUGCAGUAUCACCUCAUCUGCUCUCGGACCGCUCUGACCCUAGCAUCAGUACUGAAGUAAAGGCUGAUGAAGACAUCUUUUGAUUGAAGCUGCUGAUAAAGUUUUGUGUCAGAAUAGUAAAUGUUACUUCUUUUUUUCCCAAAAAAGGACAACAAAAAAAAUACAAGGAUCCUUUGUAAAUUUUUGUUUAUUUUUUACAUUUUUCUUUGUCCAGAUUUAACACUUUCAAACUCUACUGAGACACUAAACCUUCUCAUGACUCUCAGUGAAAGCCAUGAAAUUCUUCUCGGUGGGUCAGUGGCUCAUCUGUAGGGUGAAGGUGAGGCAGGACUUAAAUCGUCCCUCACCACGCUGGAAUGAUUUCUUUGGUCUGACAUCAAAUAUACACAUCAUCGUAAUAAAAUGCAAACUGGUUUCUGUGAUCUGUAGUCAUAUGGGAGGUGGGCCACUCUGAAAGUCUUAGUUUAACCCUGCAUUCAAGUGGUGUUUGAUGUACCCAAGUCUCAAGUUUACGUCAUAAAACUACAGUAGACUAUUAUAAUACUUAGUCAUUGAUAAAUGUGUUUUUCUGUAUUUUUAAAACUAAUAAAAGAUAAGGCUGACUUUAUUCUAUAUUUUUCUUACUGUAAUAAAAUCCCAUGAAAAGACCAAAACCAGCAGUCUGUUAGUCCAUCUCUUACUUUCUGACUUAUUUUUAUAUGUGGUUCUCAACCUGAACACCACUGGUUCUUACUGAAGAUGAAACGCCUUAAAGAUAUCAUUUUACAUGACGAUAAAUACGCAUUUGCUUUCUCGCUAUGAGUUAGUUGAGAUGAUAUAAUAUCUCAUGUCUGUCUUAACUUCAUAAAGAUUAGAAACUUUUUUUGGUCAAAACGCUGCAUUUACGCAAGAAAAAAAGGUCACUUGUAAAAGAGUGAGCUUGGUAGGUGGACUGUAUCUUCAAACAGCUGUGCUCUAAAGUUUUUAGCAAAUAUUACUUAAACAGACGAAAAUAAUCCAUUUAUUGGGGACUUUUCGCAUUAAUCCACAUUUGGUGCUAUAGUGAGUAUUUUGGGUGGCAGAAUAGUAUGAGUUUGGUCGCUUCAUGGGAUUUGUUACUGAGGAAAGUGUAGAAUUUUGUAAUUUUCUUAUCUGUUAAGUAGCCAAAGAUUACUAUACUUAGUAGAGAGCCGGUCUCUAAGGCUGGCUUUUGUUUGGCCAAUCAGAAGCCUGCAUCUUUGUUCAAAUAUUUCCGAUAAACUACAUGAACACGCACGAGCUGCUUGAAUGAGUUGAGACAGAUUCUAUUCCCGACUCAGAAAACUUCGAGCUGACAUCACUUGAAAGCAGGGUGUCACAUUCAGGUGCUCGUAAACUACACAACGUGUAUUUCUACCAUGACAAUGUUAAGGUGCUUGUUAAAGUCAAAAGAAUCAAUACAGUUCAAGGCUGUGAAUCAGAA